GUAAAACCUGGAUAGAAUGCAUGGAGCAGCUAUUUAAGGACUCUGAAAGUGAAUAGUAGCAAAUGGAUCAGAGAAGAUCAACAGUUGAAGUAUCACUAAGCCAGUGCUCAGUCAUUCUUUGCAGACAGAGGUUUGACUGCACCUUUAUUGUGCAGAUGGAAAAGAUGCUGGAGCGUAUUGUAGUUGAAGGAUUUGAAAGACUACAUCUUGGGUGCCUCUCCAUGAUGUGGGGCUUUGCUGUCAGGCUGGUUUGAAUCUGUGUGUUGGCUUAUGUGCAAGGUUGGUGAGCGGCUUGAGAGACUUGUGUUUUGUUUUCCACAAGAAGGGGAGAAUGAAGGCACUGACGAAAAUUGGAAACGUUUCAGAGAAAUGUAAUCUUCUAGAGAUACAAACGUAGCACAGAGAAGUGUAGCCCAAAGGGAUGGAAACUGGAGAAGUUACGAAGAACAUGAUCUUGGCUGCGGUGAACAUUGUGGAGCAUGAGUGUGACUACAUGGGCUCUGGAAAGUAAAUGUGGGAAGAAAGCUGCAGGGCACAGAGCCAGGUGGCUUUGGGCUCUGACAGUCUGGGUCUCCUGGCUGCUAGAGGCACUAUGUCUGCCCCAAAUUUCCUAGCACCUGCUGCUCCCCGCUCCCCACCGCCUGCCUCUCCAGUCUCUGGUCCCCUUCUCAUUGUUUGUUCCGACUUCCAUGCUGCCUCUUUGUUCAGAGGCGUCCCCUCUCUCUCCUUCAUCCAUCCCCUCCACGGGAACCCUGCACAGAACCGUCAUGUACUGGGUCAGUUCCAUACUUCUCACCACGAUGGGGACUCAGACAACAAGUUAAACAUGAAAGGGGUGAGGGCACACUUGGUAGAGAGAAUAACUUCUUGCCAGAGAGGGAUGGAUGGAAAGGAGUUGCUCAGGAGGGUGACAAGGGGACCCUUUGGCAGGGAGAUGGGCUCAGACUGGGAUCUGGGUCCAUAGUAAUUUUUAAUAAACGCUUGCUAAUUCAUUGAGUUUCAGGGAUCACAACCAAGCAUUAACAGAAAAGCCUGUGCUCUGGUGAAAGUCUCUUUUAUUAUAUACCCUAUUUCAUUUAAAAUUGAACUCAUUGCCUAAUGACUGCAGAAAUACAGUGUGUCCCAGCCCUUAAGAAUGAAACGCCAGGUUGAUAGCCAGAGAACUAGAACUGAGACUGCUUCUUUUAUGGGCACCAGGAUCUCUAAUCCCAACCAUCCUUCGAGGGCCAGUUCAUGGCUCCUUCCACCACAAAGCCAACCCGUACAUUCUCCCCGUGAAGCCACAGUGUUUUGCUCCUCUCUCCAGUUACCUACCAUGGGCUACCCAUCAGAAAAGAUUAUGAUACCUUCCUUCUUUCCUUUUUCUAAAAUAUAAGCUGAUGGUAGACAGGAAUUAUGUAUUAUUCAUUUUUACAUACAUACAUA